GGGGGGUGCCAUCCCGAAGCUUUCGAACUCCUUUCUAUGUCUUAGAUUGCAUUUAAUCUCAUCUCUUCAUGUUGCAUUGUAGGAUUGCAUAGUAGCUCCAUUCCUUAUGCUUUCUAAAUGAUAACCUAGUGUACUUGGAACGCUUGGUAACUUAGAUAGGUGAGGAUUGGGUCGGAACGUGGAUCCUAUGAUGCGAAAGAAAAGAGAUGAACCCGAUGGGGGUAUUGAUGACAUAGAAAGUAGUGUAAAGUGUUAAAGAACAAACGAGUGACAUCCAAAUGUUAAAUAAUGACGAGUGGCAUUAAUGUAGUGUAAUGACACUAGUAGUCGAUGGACCUAGGGAUAGGUGGAUCCCUUAGAAAAUGCCUUGUGAACAAUGAAUUUAGAAAAGCUAAAUAGCAUUGCAUGAAUGUCGGGAACCAAUGAUCCCGCGAGAAAUGUUGACUCUAGUUGUAGAGCGUCCUCACUUGGAGAGGAUUUGAUUGGGUUGUGGACCCUAGU
rnacentral:lncRNA from 1 species